rnacentral:rRNA from 1 species
ACACGUGGGUGAUCUGCCCUGCACUUCGGGAUAAGCCUGGGAAACUGGGUCUAAUACCGGAUAUGACCUCCUAUCGCAUGGUGGGUGGUGGAAAGAUUUAUCGGUGCAGGAUGGGCCCGCGGCCUAUCAGGCUCUUGUUGGUGGGGUAAUGGCCUACCAAGGCGAUGACGGGUAGCCGACCUGAGAGGGUGACCGGCCACACUGGGACUGGACACGGCCCAGACCUACGGGAGGCAGCAGUGGGCAAUAUUGCACAUUGGGCGAAAGCCUGAUGCAGCGACGCCGCGUGAGGGAUGACGGCCUUCGGGUUGUAACCUCUUUCAGCAGGGACGAAGCCCAAGUGACGGUACCUGCAGAAGAAGCAUUCCGGCUAACUACGUGCCAGCAGCCGCGGUAAUACGUAGGGUGCAAGCGUUGUCCGGAAUUACUGGGCGUA